rnacentral:lncRNA from 1 species
CUCACUGUCUCUCAGAAGCUUGCCAAUUUUUUCAGGUCGUUUGAAGAAGGUGAAGCCAGCUCAAAAAGUGAAUCUGCUUGAUACUCCAACUGAUGGUUCAGUCUCUCUCUCACUGCAAUUGUUGAUAUGCCUUGAAUCUGGAUGUUACAUCUAGGCGAUGGAUGUUACAUCACGUACAUCAUACCGACUCGGUUGCAUCAAGAGCGUUGCAUCAAGUUAUUAUGGAUGUUACAUCUGAUCGUG